rnacentral:rRNA from 1 species
AUUGAACGCUGGCGGCAGGCCUAACACAUGCAAGUCGAGCGGUAACACAGAGGAGCUUGCUCCUAGGGUGACGAGCGGCGGACGGGUGAGUAAUGCCUGGGGAUCUGCCCGAUAGAGGGGGAUAACUACGGGAAACUGUAGCUAAUACCGCAUAAUGUCUACGGACCAACGUGGGGGCUCUUCGGACCUCAUGCUAUCGGAUGAACCCAGGUGGGAUUAGCUAUUUGGUGGGGUAAUGGCUCACCAAGGCGACGAUCUCUAACUGGUUUGAGAGAAUGACCAGUCACACUGGAACUGAGACACGGUCCAGACUCCUACGGGAGGCAGCAGUGGGGAAUAUUGCACAAUGGGCGCAAGCCUGAUGCAGCCAUGCCGCGUGUGUGAAGAAGGCCUUCGGGUUGUAAAGCACUUUCAGCGGGGAGGAAGGGUCACUAGUUAAUACCUAGCGGCAUUGACGUUACUCGCAGAAGAAGCACCGGCUAACUCCGUGCCAGCCGCCGCAGUAA